rnacentral:RNase_P_RNA from 1 species
GGAGAAGGCUGGGCGAUCGCCGGUCACGGCAACGUGGCGGGAGGAAAGUCCGGGCUCCACAGGGCAGGGUGCUGGGUAACUCCCAGGGGGGGCAACCCCACGGAAAGUGCCACAGAGAAGAGACCGCCGCCCGCGAGGGCGGUAAGGGUGAAACGGUGAGGUAAGAGCUCACCAGCGGCACGGGUGACCGCGCCGGCUUGGCAAACCCCACCUGGAGCAAGGCCGAAUAGGAGAGCGUUCGGGUGGCCCGCCCGUGGCUCUCGGGUCAGGCCGCUGGAGACGCCGGGCAACCGGCGCCCUAGAGAAAUGAUCGUCGCCCGGGCGCAAGCCCAGGACACAGAACCCGGCUUACAGGCCUUCUCCGGCG